rnacentral:lncRNA from 1 species
GCUUAUUAAACAUACUUUGACAGAGGAGAUUAUAAAAUUGGACAAGAAAAACAAAAAGAUUAACUUGUAAAUCAAUCUCUACAGCAGCCACCAAACUCCCUGAUGUAGUAAACUAUGAAUCAGAACAUAAAGGUGAUAUAAUGCUCAGGUAGUAGGACAGCUGUACUCAGACAUGAUGUGUUGAGAUUCCUCAGUGAGGUGUGUAAGGAUCUUCAGCACUUCAGGUUAAAUAAAAUUAAUGCUUUUUAGUGAAAGGAAAAUGUCUGUGCUUACAGGGCACAUAUCAUGAUCUUGGAACAGACACCAAGGACAAAAUUUAAAUUCAUCUUUCCUACAUUUUCUUCUUUCUUUGUGAACAACUGAAAAAAGCACCUCUCUGUCAAAAAAGGUGCCAGUCCCAUCUCCAACAAGUUGUAAUUCCUACCAUAAUUGAUGUCUAAUUGCUGCAUCAAACUGUAGAAAGACCACUUCUCUGUGAAUGGCUAAAAGCUGGGAUAUUCUGCUGAGAUCCAGUGGAUUCUGGAAGCUGUAAUAAUAUUCUGUAUUCUUGAAGUUCAGUCCCUGCAAUCUCAAGAACAGUAAGUUUAUCAGAUGCCAGGACAAAAGGAAAGAUGUGCAGAGAAACUUUUUACUCCUGAGUUGUAUGUGAGCAGCACUAAAUAUACAGAUAUAUGAAGAGGGGCAUUUCCUGGUGACAGAAAAACAGUCCAGACAUGCAGCACUCACACCCACAGAGAAGAUGGGAAAGUCGGAUGUCUAUUGCCUUAGCACUGAGCAACAAGUGUUUGAAAUCAGCAGUGAAGUG